UUUUCUCGGGGUGUUUGUUGCCGGAGGUCACUGCUAUUGGGGUUCGGCUAAGCCAUGCGAGUGGAGGGCGUCCCGCAAGGGAUGGCCCCGCGGACGGCUCAGUAACACGUCGUCAACCUACCCUAGGGUGGGGAAUAACCUCGGGAAACUGAGGAUAAUUCCCCAUAGGCGAAGGAGGCUGGAAUGCGCUUUCGCUGAAAGCUCAGGCGCCCUAGGACGGGACGGCGGCCUAUCAGGUAGUUGGUGGUGUAACGGACCACCAAGCCUACAACGGGUACGGGCUGUGAGAGCAGGAGCCCGGAGAUGGGGACUGAGACAAGGCCCCAGGCCCUACGGGGCGCAGCAGGCGCGAAAACUCCGCAAUGCGCGCAAGCGUGACGGGGGAACCCCAAGUGCCGUUGAUCUUUGAUCGGCGGCUUUUCGGGAGUGUAAGGAGCUCCCGGAAUAAGGGCUGGGUAAGACUGGUGCCAGCCGCCGCGGUAAUACCAGCAGCCCGAGUGGUGGCCGCAUUUAUUGGGCCUAAAGCGCUCGUAGCCGGGCCGGUAAGUUCCCCGUGAAAUCGGGUCUGCAACGAUUCGGCUUGCGGGGAAUACUGUCGGUCUUGGGGCCGGGAGACGCCGAGGGUACUCCGGGAGUAGCGGUGAAAUGCUGUAAUUCUCGGAGGACCACCAGUGGCGAAGGCGCUCGGCGAGAACGGACCUGACGGUGAGGGGCGAAAGCUGGGGGAGCGAACGGGAUUAGAUACCCCGGUAGUCCCAGCCGUAAAGGAUGCGGGCAAGGUGCUUGUCGCUCUUCGAGGGCGUCAGGUGCCGUAGAGAAGUCGUUAAGCCCGCCGCCUGGGAAGUACGGUCGCAAGGCUGAAACUUAAAGAAAU
rnacentral:rRNA from 1 species